GCCCAGAUGGCGGAAUUGGUAGACGCGCUAGGUUCAGGUCCUAGUGGCCGAAAGGCUGUGAAAGUUCGAAUCUUUUUCUGGGCA
rnacentral:tRNA from 1 species